CCUACGGGAGGCAGCAGUGGGGAAUAUUGCACAAUGGUGGAAACCCUGAUGCAGCGACGCCGCGUGAGUGAAGAAGUAUUUCGGUAUGUAAAGCUCUAUCAGCAGGGAAGAAAAUGACGGUACCUGAUUAAGAAGCUCCGGCUAACUACGUGCCAGCCGCCGCGGUAAUACGUCGGGAGCAAGCGUUAUCCGGAUUUACUGGGUGUAAAGGGAGCGUAGGCGGCAGCACAAGUCUGGAGUGAAAUGCCGGGGCUUAACCCCGGAACUGCUUUGGAAACUGGGCUGCUAGAGUGCGGGAGAGGUAAGGGGAAUUCCUAGUGUAGCGGUGAAAUGCGUAGAUAUGAGGAAGAACACCAGUGGCGAAGGCAGCUUACGGGACUGUAACUGACGUUGAGGCUCGAAAGCGUGGGGAUCAAACAGGAUUAGAUACCCUAGUAGUC
rnacentral:rRNA from 1 species